rnacentral:rRNA from 1 species
GACGAACGCUGGCGGCGUGCUUAACACAUGCAAGUCGAACGGAAAGGCCCUGCUUUUGUGGGGUGCUCGAGUGGCGAACGGGUGAGUAACACGUGAGUAACCUGCCCUUGACUUUGGGAUAACUUCAGGAAACUGGGGCUAAUACCGGAUAGGAGCUCCUGCUGCAUGGUGGGGGUUGGAAAGUUUCGGCGGUUGGGGAUGGACUCGCGGCUUAUCAGCUUGUUGGUGGGGUAGUGGCUUACCAAGGCUUUGACGGGUAGCCGGCCUGAGAGGGUGACCGGCCACAUUGGUACUGAGAGACGGCCCAGACUCCUACGGGAGGCAGCGGUGGGGAAUAUUGCCCAAUGGGCGGAAGCCUGAUGCAGCAACGCCGCGUGCGGGAUGACGGCCUUCGGGUUGUAAACCGCUUUCGCCUGUGACGAAGCGUGAGUGACGGUAAUGGGUAAAGAAGCACCGGCUAACUACGUG